UACCUCAAAAAACCACAACAGUCUGUUUCAUCCGUAUAGGAAUCAUCAGGUGGUCUACCUGAUGAUUCCUAUGGUGGACCACCUGAUGAUUCCUUUACGGUGAAACAGACUGUUGUGGUUUUU